AACGAACGCUGGCGGCAGGCUUAACACAUGCAAGUCGAGCGCCCCGCAAGGGGAGCGGCAGACGGGUGAGUAACGCGUGGGAAUCUACCCAUCUCUACGGAAUAACGCAUGGAUACGUGUGCUAAUACCGUAUACGUCCUUCGGGAGAAAGAUUUAUCGGAGAUGGAUGAGCCCGCGUUGGAUUAGCUAGUUGGUGGGGUAAAGGCCUACCAAGGCGACGAUCCAUAGCUGGUCUGAGAGGAUGAGCAGCCAUACUGGGACUGAGACACGGCCCAGACUCCUACGGGAGGCAGCAGUGGGGAAUAUUGGACAAUGGGCGCGAGCCUGAUCCAGCCAUGCCGCGUGAGUGAUGAAGGCCCUAGGGUUGUAAAGCUCUUUCACCGGUGAAGAUAAUGACGGUAACCGGAGAAGAAGCCCCGGCUAACUUCGUGCCAGCAGCCGCAGUAAUAC
rnacentral:rRNA from 1 species